ensembl:lncRNA
AGACGACUAAGGUCUCCAGUCUACUAUGGAUGAGGAGAGAGGGGAGGGGGGUCCUACCUCUAAGACCACUCUGUCUGGGGAACAUGGCCGCCGGAGCAAAGCCAAAAGCCCAGAGAAACAGGAUAGAGCAGAUAGCGUCUCCGCGUGACCGCUCUAUGGAACAACCUCAUAACUUUAAAGACGGAAAUCCGUCUAUUGAAAAAAGAAGAGUCCAGCAGCAGAGAGCAGACUCCCCUGGACCCAGAUGUGUCUCCAUGAAGAGUGACAGCUCUAUGGAUCCUCCUGUUGGGUUUAAAGAUGGAAAUCAGUCUAUUGAGAAGAGAGUCCAGAAGGAGAGAGCAGACUCCCCUGGACCCAUUUGUGUCUCCAUGAAGAGUGACCACUCUAUGGAUCAUCCUGGCCAGUUUAAAGAUGGAAAUCAGUCUAUUGAGAAGAUGUGAGGAAUAUCAAAGAUCAUAAAGAUACAGCUUCUAUUAAACGUCCAUAAAUCCUG